ACAAAGAGUUCUGAUUGGAUUAAUGCCCUGAGUGUCGAGACAGAGGGAAAAACAACUUCAACGUAGAGAAGGACAAACACGGGGACCAUUCCUGAGGGUUCCUCUCUGAGUCUGGAGUCCAAAGUCUUCAAAACCUGGUUCACAAAGGACGACGCUGGGAAAGAUCAAAGAUCCAGUGAGCAGCAGCUCCAGGAAAAAAAUACCUUGUGGUCUAGGAGCACAGGAAGGCCGACUGAGGUAUGCAAAUGACCAUCUCUGAAUGCAAAACACGUCAAACUUAGAGGCAGAUCUUACAGCAUCAGGAGACAGAACAGCUUUAGCAGGUACAUAAACCUCAACAGUUUCCAUCUGGAGAUCAAUAAAGUAUUUUUGAUUCUUAUUGUUUCCUUUUCCAAAGGAUUGAGCAAUAAUGAAAGUUUGUACUUCAAUAAAUGGGGUUUUCCUGAUGUGUUCUGAUGUACGUAGGUACUGCAGUACACCUUUAGAGAAGCUACGUAUAAAUUGUGUAUAACACAUACAGUACCUAUCACUUUGGAUUUGUCCGUAAUGAUUUACCACAGGAGAUCAUGUGCCUCCCUCUGCCUCCUUCUCUUUAUCCUUUAGUCCCUUCAAGAAUCCAACUGCUUACAUGACUCAAACAUACUAUUUAACAUAUUUUGUGUAAUAUUUCAUUUGUACUUACUGCA